GUUUUUUACGAUCCAUAUAUUAGACCAUGUAUAUGGGUGAUAUUUUUAGAGUAUCACAAGUCCAAAAAUUAUUUUUAUAUUAGUAAAGCAAUUAGAAUAUGUUUGAUCAGUAUCAUAUUUGUCAUAUCAGUAUCAUCUGACGUGGUUUCUUCUGAUUGGUCACAUUUGAUAAAAGCAAAAAAUCUUAUAUAUAUUUAUUAAACAAACAUUAUAAAUAAUACUAAAAAAUUUCU
rnacentral:sRNA from 1 species